rnacentral:rRNA from 1 species
AUGGCGGUCAAGCUCACGCUCCCACCGGCAGAACUGCUCUCCCAGGUGGCCAAGCUAGGCUCCCUCCUCGCCCUCAUCCUCCUCGCGCUGCUGCUGCCCGCCUUCCUCAGGGUCGCCUACGGCUACCUCCUCUUCAACGGCAUCGUCCUCGCGCUGGGCAUCCAGGCCUUCGUCGGCAGCACAGCUUCCAUUGCCGACGAGUCCUCGAGCACCGGUCAGGCUGUCGCGCCUGUCGGCGUCGCGGCCUCGCCGUUCCAGAGGGCUGGAUCAGGCCGUCCCGACGACCGGACAGCGGUUGUUGAUGAUGAUCGUGUGGUGGUGCUGAAGAAGUGCCCGUCGACGGCGAGCAUCUUCUUCCUCAGCGCGCUGAACGGCAGCCAGGCCGGCGGAGAGGAAAAGGGACAGCAAGAGGAGCAGGAUGAUUUUGAGGUCGACUUGGACGGCGACGUGACGAUGAGUCGGCAGGAGCUGUUCGCCAACACGGAGAGGUUCAUCGGCAACUUCCGCAAGGAGCUCAGGAUGCAGAGACAGUAG